GGUCAGAGGCAAAGUUCCUUUUCCAGAAGAUCUGUACCAACGUGGAAAGCCAGAAUUGAAAGGACCUUCCCCUGCUGGGCAGGAAUUUCAGAGAUUCCCAUGGGAAGGGACCAGGAUUAUCUGGUUCCACAUCACAGGAACUGCAAAGGAGGGCCUACAAAAGGUGAAUUUUAACGAGCAACCAACCUCAUGGAGGCAUCUGAAUCACACCCCCAGAGCUGCACAACCUUCCCACUGCACUGUGCACAGACCUGGCACCCUUGGAGCCUCCAAAGGAGCACCAGGGCCAGGGAAAGGCCCCAGUUUCCAUGUCCAGCUGCCAAGAUCUCCAUUAGGAGGUUUGUGUUUCCUUCCAACAUUAAAGAAUCUCUCUAACAUCUGUAGCGAUGAGCAGUGAAGAGUGUCAGCUCUGCUUCUGAAACAAGCAGUGCCACCAUCUGAAGGAGGAAAAUGUGAAAUAAUGAAUAUGCUUCUGCAGAUCAGGCUGCUGUGUGUGCCAGGGGAUGUGCAAAGCCUCGUGCCAGGCUUGAUCUCCAGAUUUCCCCUCUCCACCUCUAAGGAGGGCAGGUAAGUAUGUAAAACUUGGAGAAGGCAUUGCCCAGAAUGUGAACCCUGGCACAGAGAGCCACAGAGCACUGCAAGGGAU
rnacentral:lncRNA from 1 species